rnacentral:rRNA from 1 species
UACGUAGGGUGCAAGCGUUGUCCGGAAUUAUUGGGCGUAAAGAGCUCGUAGGCGGUUUGUCGCGUCUGCUGUGAAAACUCGGGGCUUAACCCCGGGCCUGCAGUGGGUACGGGCAGACUAGAGUGCGGUAGGGGAGACUGGAAUUCCUGGUGUAGCGGUGAAAUGCGUAGAUAUCGGAAGGAACAUCAGUGGCGAAAGCGACUUCCUGGACCAGUACCGACGUUCAGGCACGAAAGCGUGGGGAGCAAACAGG